rnacentral:piRNA from 1 species
UCGAGGAACAGUUCAGGGAGACAGUGC